GGGAUUGGAGCGACAAGGUCAGAUGUUCUUCCACUUUAAUUUAAGGAAAUAUGACGUUUGGCUUUACCUUUUUGAAUUCCCAAUGCGUUGCAUCAACUGGUAUUUUUAACUCUUCUCUACUAAUAAACAGAAGUCCGUGGCAUUUAAGGAACAACUUCGAUAAAAGUGAGACGUAUUACCGACCAGAUCAUCUUCAUACAU